CCGUCGCUGAAACGAGCUUCGAAGCCACCGUCGUUAUCGUGCAGUUCUGUUCCACCAUCGUGCAGCUACUGUUUCAACUUUGAAAGCACCGUCGUGCAGCUCGGUUCCAUCGUCGCCGGGCUCGCCUCCUUUUUCCGUCUCACAGCUCUGUUCCAUCGUCACUGGCGCUAUCUCUGUUCCUUUUUCUUUCACGUGGAACACACUCAUAAGAGCCUAUGCUAGAACCGCAGACCAAAAACACAAGUCCAUGGAACUUUACAAAGCAAUGUUAAUGAUGGAACGAGAACAACAAAGUGCAGCGGUUAUUCCUGAUAAUUACACAUACCAUUUUGUAUUAAAGGCAUGUGCUUACUUGUUCUCUCUUUCUGAAGGGAAACAGACUUGGCACACAAGGUGUUCGAGAAAAUGUCCGAAAGAAGUGAGGUUUCAUGGACCAUCAUGAUUGACUCUUAUGCAAGUGCUGGAUAUUAUAUGACAAGCGAUAUAAUCUCUUCCAUUAUCCAGUCUCAGACGAAGAUGCUCCUAACUAUCACUCAAUUAUCCAGAACCCGAUGGACAUGGUAACCAUGUUACAGCGUGUUGAUAAUGGCUGGUAUAUUACACGUUCUACAUUCCUACAGGACAUUGAUCUUAUUGUUUCC